rnacentral:rRNA from 1 species
UACGGGGGGGGUAAGCGUUGUUCGGAAUUACUGGGCGUAAAGGGCUCGUAGGCGGCCAACUAAGUCAGACGUGAAAUCCCUCAGCUUAACUGGGGAACUGCGUCUGAUACUGGAUGGCUUGGAUUCGGGAGAGGGAUGCGGAAUUCCAGGUGUAGCGGUGAAAUGCGUAGAUAUCUGGAGGAACACCGGUGGCGAAGGCGGCAUCCUGGACCGAUAUUGACGCUGAGGCGCGAAAGCCAGGGGAGCAAACGGG